rnacentral:rRNA from 1 species
AGUGAACGCUGGCGGUAGGCCUAACACAUGCAAGUCGAACGGCAGCACAGUAAGAGCUUGCUCUUACGGGUGGCGAGUGGCGGACGGGUGAGGAAUACAUCGGAAUCUACUUUUUCGUGGGGGAUAACGUAGGGAAACUUACGCUAAUACCGCAUACGACCUACGGGUGAAAGCAGGGGAUCUUCGGACCUUGCGCGAUUGAAUUAGCCGAUGUCGGAUUAGCUAGUUGGCGGGGUAAAGGCCCACCAAGGCGACGAUCCGUAGCUGGUCUGAGAGGAUGAUCAGCAACACUGGAACUGAGACACGGUCCAGACUCCUACGAGAGGCAGCAGUGGGGAAUAUUGGACAAUGGGCGCAAGCCUGAUCCAGCCAUACAGCGUGGGUGAAGAAGGCCUUCGGGUUGUAAAGCCCUUUUGUUGGGAAAGAAAAGCAGAAGGUUCAUACCCAGCUGUUCUGACGGUACCCAACGAAUAAGCACAGGCUAACUUCGUG